rnacentral:misc_RNA from 1 species
GUAUAUUUCACAUAAUAAGACAUUCUAAACUCGUUUGAGAGGUUGUGGAAAAUGACAUAGACCUGGAAGGCAAAAAGGCAAAGCCGGCCUUUCAAAGAAAAGCAACAGCAGUCCCUACUCGAAUGAGAACAUUCAUAAAAGGCCUUUCCAGGAUCUACAAAAUGUGCACAGUUGGAGAAAUAAUAAAGAUGAGACAAGCGUGCACACACACUCCAGAGGGAGAGCCAGCAACAGCCUGUUCAAGUUUAUAAUACGAUAAUGAUCCUUCCGCAGGUUCACCUACGGAAA